rnacentral:rRNA from 1 species
UCGAGAAUUUUUCACAAUGGGGGCAACCCUGAUGGAGCGACGCCGCGUGGAGGAUGAAGGUCUUCGGAUUGUAAACUCCUGUCAUGCGAGAACAAGAAAGUGAUAGUAUCGCAAGAGGAAGAGACGGCUAACUCUGUGCCAGCAGCCGCGGUAAUACAGAGGUCUCAAGCGUUGUUCGGAUUCAUUGGGCGUAAAGGGUGCGUAGGCGGCGUGGUAAGUUGAGUGUGAAAUCCUAGGGCUUAACCUUAGAACUGCACUCAAUACUGCCAUGCUUGAGGAAUGUAGAGGAGAGUGGAAUUCACGGUGUAGCAGUGAAAUGCGUAGAUAUCGUGAGGAAGACCAGUUGCGAAGGCGACUCUCUGGGCAUCUCCUGACGCUGAGGCACGAAGGCUAGGGGAGC